GGGGAUGUAGCUCAGUGAUAUAGCAACUGCCUGGCAAGCACAAGGCCCUGGGUUCAAUUCCCAGUACCA
rnacentral:tRNA from 1 species